AUUGUUUUGGCAGAAUAGUGUUUUAGAUUUAGAAUCUUUUUAUAUAGGGAUAUCCCUAUAAACAAUA
rnacentral:tRNA from 1 species